rnacentral:rRNA from 1 species
UACGAAGGGGGCUAGCGUUGCUCGGAAUCACUGGGCGUAAAGCGCACGUAGGCGGAUUGUUAAGUCAGGGGUGAAAUCCUGGAGCUCAACUCCAGAACUGCCUUUGAUACUGGCGAUCUUGAGUCCGGGAGAGGUGAGUGGAACUGCGAGUGUAGAGGUGAAAUUCGUAGAUAUUCGCAAGAACACCAGUGGCGAAGGCGGCUCACUGGCCCGGUACUGACGCUGAGGUGCG